CCUACGGGAGGCUGCAGUGAGGAAUAUUGGUCAAUGGGCGCGAGCCUGAACCAGCCAAGUAGCGUGAAGGAUGAAUGCCCUACGGGUUGUAAACUUCUUUUAUAAAGGAAUAAAGUGAGGCACGUGUGCCUUUUUGUAUGUACUUUAUGAAUAAGGAUCGGCUAACUCCGUGCCAGCAGCCGCGGUAAUACGGAGGAUCCGAGCGUUAUCCGGAUUUAUUGGGUUUAAAGGGAGCGUAGAUGGGUUGUUAAGUCAGUUGUGAAAGUUUGCGGCUCAACCGUAAGAUUGCAAUUGAUACUGGCAGCCUUGAGUACAGUUGAGGUAAGCGGAAUUCGUGGUGUAGCGGUGAAAUGCUUAGAUAUCACGAAGAACACCGAUUGCGAAGGCAGCCUACUAAACUGCCACUGACAUUGAUGCUCGAAAGUGUGGGGAUCAAACAGGAUUAGAUACCCCUGUAGUC
rnacentral:rRNA from 1 species